rnacentral:tRNA from 1 species
GCUGGCGUGGCUCAACGGUAGAGCAGCGCAUUCGUAAUGCGCAGGUUGGUGGUUCGAUUCCACUCGCCAGCUCCA